ACGGGAGGCAGCAGUGGGGAAUAUUGCACAAUGGGCGAAAGCCUGAUGCAGCGACGCCGCGUGAGUGAUGAAGUAUUUCGGUAUGUAAAGCUCUAUCAGCAGGGAAGAUAAUGACGGUACCUGACUAAGAAGCACCGGCUAAAUACGUGCCAGCAGCCGCGGUAAUACGUAUGGUGCAAGCGUUAUCCGGAUUUACUGGGUGUAAAGGGAGCGCAGGCGGUACGGCAAGUCUGAUGUGAAAGCCCGGGGCUCAACCCCGGUACUGCAUUGGAAACUGUCGAACUAGAGUGUCGGAGGGGUAAGUGGAAUUCCUAGUGUAGCGGUGAAAUGCGUAGAUAUUAGGAGGAACACCAGUGGCGAAGGCGACUUACUGGACCGUAACUGACGUUGAGGCUCGAAAGCGUGGGGAGCAAACAGGAUUAGAUACCCUGGUA
rnacentral:rRNA from 1 species